rnacentral:rRNA from 1 species
CCUACGGGAGGCAGCAGUGGGGGAUAUUGCACAAUGGGGGAAACCCUGAUGCAGCGACGCCGCGUGGGUGAAGAAGCGCCUCGGCGCGUAAAGCCCUGUCAGCAGGGGAGAAAAUGACGGUACCUGAAGAAGAAGCCCCGGCUAACUACGUGCCAGCAGCCGCGGUAAUACGUAGGGGGCAAGCGUUAUCCGGAUUUACUGGGUGUAAAGGGGGCGCAGACGGCGAUGCAAGCCAGGAGUGAAAGCCCCGGGGCCAACCCCGGGACUGCUCUUGGAACUGCGUGGCUAGAGUGCAGGAGGGGCAGGCGGAAGUCCUGGUGGAGCGGUGAAAUGCGUAGAUAUCAGGAGGAACACCGGUGGCGAAGGCGGCCUGCUGGACUGCAACUGACGUUGAGGCACGAAAGCGUGGGGAGCAAACAGGAUUAGAUACCCUGGUAGUC